rnacentral:rRNA from 1 species
CACGUAGGGCGCAAGCGUUGUCCGGAAUUAUUGGGCGUAAAGAGCUCGUAGGCGGUCUGUUGCGUCCGCUGUGAAAACUCGGGGCUUAACCCCGAGCCUGCAGUGGAUACGGGCAGACUAGAGGUAGGUAGGGGAGAAUGGAAUUCCCGGUGUAGCGGUGAAAUGCGCAGAUAUCGGGAGGAACACCGGUGGCGAAGGCGGUUCUCUGGGCCUUACCUGACGCUGAUGAGCGAAAGCGUGGGGAGCGAACAGG